ACUCCGACGGGAACUACCCCCACCGCGCCCAACCUUCCUCCAACGCCAUCGGCAGCCACGACCGCCUCCGCACGCCCCACGCCCUCGCAUCCCCUCCUCCUUCUGCCACCAUGCCCACCGCCGCCGCCCCACUCCAGCCGCGACGCGCCGCACCACUCCGGCCGCGACGCGCCGCACCACCGUGCCUCCACGGCGCUCCGGUCGCAACCCACGCUGUUGGAUCCGGUGACCCCGGCCACGGAUCCAUGGAUCCCGAGCCGGAUUCGAGCUCUUCUUGUCUACCGCCCCGCCCCAUCUUCGGUGAGCAGGAUUCAGAACGACACCCACCAAGCGCCUCCGCGAACUCCUCCCGACCACGGAUCCACCGGGUGGUUGGUGUCCAGCAUCACUCAGCACCAUGCCUCUCCACCCCCCGUGCCCAAACGACCUCCUGCUUCACGCCGUCACGCCCCCAACGACGACGAGAUUUGUGUUUUUUGUGUUCUUCUGAAGAGAAAGAAGAGUGCCAAUGCAAUCCACUGUUCUUUGCUCUUGAGGUUCAUUUUACUCUUUUUUUUGCAGAAAAAGAUAGGUGAUGCAAUCCACCGGUCUCCUACCACGGCAAACUUGGUCCACGGGCGGGAUCCUACUCCUUUCGGUGUUUUGCAUGUGAACAUUGUCAUGCCCGCCUGAAGUGCACUGCUGCUCAGCGCUUGUGGAUUAUCGGCAGCUGAUGUGCAGUAUGCAUCAACAAUAGCCGUAGCAAAACCGUUCCACUCUCCUCCCUUGGGGGAAUUUUGGGUGUUGUUGAUGCAGUGCAACGCAGCUAUUCGUGUUGUUCGGCUCUAUUUUUUUGAUGUAAUUAUUUUCCAAUUAUUUCGUGCGUACUUGUGCGGUUUAGAUUGUUCUUAAAAACCGGGUACAUAGCAUGUUUUCGUGCUGACGUAGUUCAUAUGUUCAUGGCCACACCUAGACCAUUCCUCACACGACUACUUCGGCUGGAACCUCAUACCUAUGCUCCAUCGGGAGCUCUUGGGAAUUUACUGUACUUUAUUUUGUUUCUAAAA
rnacentral:rRNA from 1 species